rnacentral:rRNA from 1 species
AGGGCACAGGGGGAAUGACUAGGCGACUCGUGCCGAAGAAGGACGCGGUACACUGCGAUAAGCUUCGGUCAGGCGUGUGCAGCCGUUCAAGCCGAAGAUGUCCGAAUGGGGAAACCCACAUGACGGCAUGGUUAUGUACUCACUGCUGAACACAUAGGCAGUGCAGAGGGAACCGGGUGAACCGAAACAUCCAAGUAGCCCGAGGAAAAGAAACGAUUCCGCGAGUAGUGGCGAGCGAAAGCGGAGCAGCCCGCAGCACGAAAACACUGAGCCAAAGGGCGUGGAAAAGCCGACCGCAGAGGGUGACAGUCCCGUAGGCGAACGGUGAUAAGCUGCAGAGAGUACCGCAGGGCACGCUAAUCCGGCGGGAAGAUGGGGGGUCCACCCUCCAAGGCUAAAUACACGAGUCGACCGAUAGUGAACCAGUACCAUGAGGGAAAGUUGAAAAGAACCCCGGUGAGGGGAGUGAAAUAGACUCUGAAACCCUGUGCCUACAAUCAGUCAAAGCCGCACUAGCGGUGAUGGCGUGCCUUUUGGAGCAUGAGCCAGCGAGUUAAUUGGUGUGGUGGGGCUAAGGCAGAUACAGCCGCAGCCAGAGCGAAAGCGAGUCUGAAGAGGGCGCUAAUCGCAUCAAUUAGACACGAAACCAGGCGAGCUACCCAUGUCCAGGCUGAAGCCGGGGUAAAACCCGGUGGAGGGCCGAACUGUCGACUGUUGCAAAAGUCUUAGAUGAGAUGUGGGUAGGGGUGAUAUGCCAAUCGAGCUUGGAGAUAGCUUGUUCUCCCCGAAACUGCUUUAGGGCAGGCGUGAUGUGUUUAGGCACGGAGGUAAAGCACUGAUUGGGCUAGGGGGCGUCAGCUUACCAACCCCACUCAAACUCAGAAUACCGUGCCUCCAAGCAUUGCAGUUGACGGUGGGAGAUGAGUUUCAUCGUCGAGAGGGAAACAACCCAGACCCACGGCUAAGGUCCCCAAGCGUCUGCUAAGUGGGAAACGAGGUGGUCGUGUUGAGACAGCCAGGAGGUUGGCUUAGAAGCAGCCACCCUUUAAAGAGUGCGUAAUAGCUCACUGGUCAAACGCGGCUGCGCGGAUAACGUAACGGGGCUAAGCAGACCACCGAAGCCCGGGGUGAAAACGGUAGGGGAGCGUUGUAUGCGGGGUGAAGCAGUCUUGAAAAGGAUUGUGGACUGCACACAAGUGAGGAUGCUGGUAUAAGUAGCGAAAAAUCUGUGAGAACCAGAUUCGCCGUAAGUCUAAGGUUUCCGACGCAAGGUCAGUCCGCGUCGGGUGAGUCGAGCCUUAGCCGAGGCCGAAAGGCGUAGGUGAUGGACAACAGGUGAAUAUUCCUGUACCACCUGUCUGGAGUGAAGCGGGGACACAUGCUGGGAGUUCAGCCUCUGAGUGGAUUGAGGUGCUAAGUGAGAUAGGCGAAGACCCUGGUAGGCAAAUCCGCCGGGCGAGCUGAAGGCGCGAAGGCGAGCCGCAAGGCUGCAAGUGAAUGGGCCAGUGUGUCGAGAAAAGCCGCUAAACGAUGAAGGAUGGGUGCUCGUACCGCAAACCGACACAGGUAGACGAGUAGAAGAUACCCAGGCGAACGGGAGAACCCUCGUUAAGGAACUCGGCAAAUUAACCCCGUAAGUUCGCGAGAAGGGGUGCCACAGCAAUGUGGUCGCAGUGAAAGGGCUCUGCUAACUGUUUAACAAAACCACAGGUCUCUGCGAAAGCGAAAGCUGACGUAUAGGGGCUGAAGCCUGCCCAGUGCCGGAAGGUUAAAAGGAGGGGUCAGCGUAAGCGACGCUCUGAAUUGAAGCCCCGGUGAACGGCGGCAGUAACUAUAACUGUCCUAAGGUAGCGAAAUUCCUUGUCGGGUAAGUUCCGACCCGCACGAAUGGCCUAAUGAGUAGAGCGCUGUCUCAACGAGGGACCCGGCGAAAUUGAAGUACGUGUGAAGAUGCGCGUUACCCGCAGUAGGACAAAAAGACCCCAUGAAGCUUUACUGUAACUUGCCAUUGCGUUAGGAUGCCGUCUGUGUAGGAUAGCUGGGAGGCUGUGAAGGCAGGGCGCUAGCCUUGCUGGAGCCAACGGUGAAAUACCAGCCUGAAGGCGUUUUGACCCUAACCUGCGCCGUAAGCCGGUGCGGGAACCGUGGCAGGCGGGCAGUUUGACUGGGGCGGUCGCCUCCUAAACAGUAACGGAGGCGCCCAAAGGUUCCCUCAGGUGGAAUGGAAACCCACCCGGGCGUGUAAAGGCACAAGGGAGCUUGACUGCAAGGGAGACACCCCGCGCAGGGACGAAAGUCGGGCUUAGUGAUCCCACGGUACCGAGUGGAAGGGCCGUGGCUUACCGGAUAAAAGCUACUCUGGGGAUAACAGGCUAGUCUUGUCCAAGAGUUCACAUCGACGACAAGGCUCGGCACCUCGAUGUCGGCUCGUCGCAUCCUGGGGCUGGAGAAGGUCCCAAGGGUUGGGCUGUUCGCCCAUUAAAGCGGUACGUGAGCUGGGUUCAGACCGUCGUGAGACAGGUCGGUCUCUAUCCACUGUGGGCGCAAGGGAGUUGCGGGAGGCUGCCCCUAGUACGAGAGGACCGGGGUGGACGGAGCGCUGGUGUGCGAGUUGUCCUGCCAAGGGCACGGCUCGGUAGCCAUCUCCGGGAGUGAGAACUGCUGAAAGCAUCUAAGUAGGAAACACGUCCCAAGAUGAACUCCCUCGUGGUGAAAACCAGUAAGACCGCGCGUAGACGACGCGCUCGAUAGGUGGCGGGUGUAAGCCUCGCAAGGGGUGAGCUUAGCCAUACUAAUGGUCGAGGGCUUCUCCA